rnacentral:tRNA from 1 species
GGGGUUGUGGCUCAGCGGUAGAGUGCUCGCCUAGCAUGUGGGAGGGUCUUGGGUUCAAUCCUCAGCACCACA